UACGAAGGGGGCUAGCGUUGUUCGGAAUUACUGGGCGUAAAGGGUGCGUAGGUGGUCGGGUAAGUCUGAUGUGAAAUCUCUGGGCUCAACCCAGAAAUGGCAUUGGAUACUAUUCGGCUAGAGGAGUGGAGGGGGGACUGGAAUACUUGGUGUAGCAGUGAAAUGCGUAGAUAUCAAGUGGAACACCAGUGGCGAAGGCGAGUCCCUGGACACUUCCUGACACUGAGGCACGAAAGCUAGGGGAGCAAACAGG
rnacentral:rRNA from 1 species